AGUGGGGAAUUUUGGACAAUGGGCGCAAGCCUGAUCCAGCCAUGCCGCGUGCAGGAUGAAGGCCUUCGGGUUGUAAACUGCUUUUGUACGGAACGAAACGGCCUUUUCUAAUAAAGAGGGCUAAUGACGGUACCGUAAGAAUAAGCACCGGCUAACUACGUGCCAGCAGCCGCGGUAAUACGUAGGGUGCAAGCGUUAAUCGGAAUUACUGGGCGUAAAGCGUGCGCAGGCGGUAAUGUAAGACAGUUGUGAAAUCCCCGGGCUCAACCUGGGAACUGCAUCUGUGACUGCAUUGCUGGAGUACGGCAGAGGGGGAUGGAAUUCCGCGUGUAGCAGUGAAAUGCGUAGAUAUGCGGAGGAACACCGAUGGCGAAGGCAAUCCCCUGGGCCUGUACUGACGCUCAUGCACGAAAGCGUGGGGAGCAAA
rnacentral:rRNA from 1 species